UUCCCUUUGUCAUCCUAUGCCUGGAGCUCAAAUGAGGCAAGGACAGCAAAGGGGUGC
rnacentral:pre_miRNA from 1 species